rnacentral:rRNA from 1 species
UACGGAAGGCAGCAGUGGGGAAUAUUGCACAAUGGGCGCAAGCCUGAUGCAGCCAUGCCGCGUGUAUGAAGAAGGCCUUCGGGUUGUAAAGUACUUUCAGCGGGGAGGAAGGGAGUAAAGUUAAUACCUUUGCUCAUUGACGUUACCCGCAGAAGAAGCACCGGCUAACUCCGUGCCAGCAGCCGCGGUAAUACGGAGGGUGCAAGCGUUAAUCGGAAUUACUGGGCGUAAAGCGCACGCAGGCGGUUUGUUAAGUCAGAUGUGAAAUCCCCGGGCUCAACCUGGGAACUGCAUCUGAUACUGGCAAGCUUGAGUCUCGUAGAGGGGGUAGAAUUCCAGGUGUAGCGGUGAAAUGCGUAGAGAUCUGGAGGAAUACCGGUGGCGAAGGCGGGCCCCUGGGACGAGACUGACGCCCAGGUGCGAAAGCGUGGGGAGCAAACAGGGAUUAGAUACC